ACUUUACAAUGCUGGCAACAGCGAUAAGGGAACCUCGAGUGCCAGGUUACAAAUCUGGCGUGUCGAGAUGCCUAAAAAGCAUUUCAUAGCAAGGGCCGGGCAAGACCGGUGCCAGCCGCCGCGGUAACACCGGCGGCCGAGUGGUAAAUCGUGAUUAUUGGGUCUAAAGGGUCCGUAGCCGGUUUGGUCAGUCUCUGGGAAAUCUGAUAGCUCAACUAUUAGGCUUUCGGGGGAUACUGCCAGACUUGGAACCGGGAGAGGUUAAGAGGUACUACA
rnacentral:rRNA from 1 species